CCGCCCUUGGCCGCGGGAAGGGCGAGCAUGGGAGCAGCGCCCCGUCCUCGGGGCCCCCGGUGCCGGCCAGCGGGCUGCUCUUGGCCAGAUUUGGAUUAUGGUGGUUUUCUAACCCAGCAGCAGUUGUGCAGUAUAGAACAGGUUCUGGCAUACACACUGUGCCCUAAAGAAAGUUCUGGCUUUAGGUAGAAUGCCAUGAACAAUCCCUUAUUGUCUGAGUGGCUUCAGAGGAAUGGUUCAUGAGUUAUUUUCUCAGGUAGGAGUGGCUAUAACUUGUGGUAGUAUGUUCAUUUCCUUGUUAUUUUUUUCUCUUGAAAUUUGCCUUUUUGCUACUGUGCAGAUGGAAGAAAAAAAAUCUGAUUUUUUAUGUGGAGGGGGGAUGCAUUUUGUAAAGUAUCUGGACUUUUAGAAAGCUUUUUUUUUUUUUGCAGAUGCAGGUAGACUGCCUUCAAAUAAUGUCACGUUUCUGUGCUACUUCUGUAU